AGAGUUUGAUCCUGGCUCAGGACGAACGCUGGCGGCGUGCCUAAUACAUGCAAGUCGAACGCUUCUUUCCUCCCGAGUGCUUGCACUCAAUUGGAAAGAGGAGUGGCGGACGGGUGAGUAACACGUGGGUAACCUACCCAUCAGAGGGGGAUAACACUUGGAAACAGGUGCUAAUACCGCAUAACAGUUUAUGCCGCAUGGCAUAAGAGUGAAAGGCGCUUUCGGGUGUCGCUGAUGGAUGGACCCGCGGUGCAUUAGCUAGUUGGUGAGGUAACGGCUCACCAAGGCCGCGAUGCAUAGCCGACCUGAGAGGGUGAUCGGCCACACUGGGACUGAGACACGGCCCAGACUCCUACGGGAGGCAGCAGUAGGGAAUCUUCGGCAAUGGGGGCAACCCUGACCGAGCAACGCCGCGUGAGUGAUGAAGGUUUUCGGAUCGUAAAGCUCUGUUGUAAGUCAAGAACGAGUGUGAGAGUGGAAAGUUCACACUGUGACGGUAGCUUACCAGAAAGGGACGGCUAACUACGUGCCAGCAGCCGCGGUAAUACGUAGGUCCCGAGCGUUGUCCGGAUUUAUUGGGCGUAAAGCGAGCGCAGGCGGUUUGAUAAGUCUGAAGUUAAAGGCUGUGGCUCAACCAUAGUUCGCUUUGGAAACUGUCAAACUUGAGUGCAGAAGGGGAGAGUGGAAUUCCAUGUGUAGCGGUGAAAUGCGUAGAUAUAUGGAGGAACACCGGUGGCGAAAGCGGCUCUCUGGUCUGUAACUGACGCUGAGGCUCGAAAGCGUGGGGAGCGAACAGGAUUAGAUACCCUGGUAGUCCACGCCGUAAACGAUGAGUGCUAGGUGUUGGAUCCUUUCCGGGAUUCAGUGCCGCAGCUAACGCAUUAAGCACUCCGCCUGGGGAGUACGACCGCAAGGUUGAAACUCAAAGGAAUUGACGGGGGCCC
rnacentral:rRNA from 1 species